ensembl:lncRNA
UAAAACCGGUUGCACUUGAAUCUGAAAUGAGGUUUGAGAUUGAGAUAGGCAGGAGGAUAUUUUAUCACUUAUCGUGAAUACAUUUUUUUUGGAGACUUACAUAAGCCUCUUAAGACCCAUUCGCCCACCGGUGGGCGAUUUGUGUUUGUUGACCACAUGUUCCCACUACGCAGCGACAUAACCCGCUUCAACUUUCAUCAUUACAGACAUUCUAUACAUCGUUAGAAAGGGUAGAAUCUCCACAAUUUAUUCAUCCGGUUUUUUUUUUUUAUAAAUCAUGAGCACAAAACCAUAAAUAUUGAUAUUAACCAGCAUGGUAAACCGGAAAUGCCAAUAAAACAGAGAGACUCCCUACCUUUGAAGCAAUCCGAGAACCGUAAUAUGUGUCCAUUCCUCAAUUAUUUAUAUUCCAAAUGUCCGUGAGAAUCCACUGAUCAAAAGCAUCCACAUGGUUUUUCAUAAAAUUAUUCCAGCUUGUGAAUAUUGUCGUGUAAAGUCCAUUUGUUUACCAUCUCCAAACUUUGUUCGUCAACUAACAUCCAGCUUUUCGAAGCCGCAUGGGUAUUUUCUCUACCUCCAGUAUGGAGUUGUUGGGUAUGCUUGUUUUCAUCACUUUGCUGGCUACAAAAUGAAAGUGUCCCCGUCUUUUUCUGUUCAGUUUUCACCCCGGUACAGCCCGUGAAGUAGAUGGAGCGCUCCCAGUUCGAAGGGCCAAUGGGCUUUGUUUACUUUGUUACGCGGCUUUAGUAUAGGGACAGCGUAUUGGCUAUUGAUAUAUCAGUCACUUGGGCUUCUAGCCAAUGAGUUUACCUUUCCAACGCUACCAGGCGUGUCCAGGUGUGAUACGUAUGAGCCGAGAUAUACAGCUGCGUCAUCACGGCAGACAACUCGCUUUGCGCAUGACAGAGCCUCCAGCGGACCAGGACGCACGCCGCACACAUUGAUCACAUUGAUUUCGCCGUUUACAAUGGCGAAAUCAACGAAGAAAACGAAAUAUUACACACAUGAAGAAGCCCUCGCUUUGAUUUUGGCUUCAUCCGAGGACAGCGAAGACAGCCAAUAUGAUUCUGAGAUAGAGGAGAUGUUCAAGCAACAAUUGGACGACGUCUUAGAUCGGUCAAUGUCUGAGGACAGUGAUGCGGAUUGGGAGCCGCAAAGCCAGACAGGCAGACCCCCGGCCCCCACUCCUACUGAAGGUGGUCGUGAGAGAUCCGGUAGUGUCUCAUCACAUGACAAUAUCUCAAUAUGGCCAUAUCAAAUGAAUGUGUGAAAAAAUUAUGUUUUGAAUCAUGGAGAAAGGUUUUAUAGUCACCAAAAUGCUUCAGUAAUGUUUCCAGUGUCACAGAAGUGAGUAAAUGCAUUUGGCACAAUUUGGCCAUUUUGGAGACAUUUUGGAGAGGUUUGGGCCGCCAGUGACCACACACCAUAAAAGCUCCAUUAACUCCCAAAGCUUUAGGCCUAGAACUCCAAAUUUUUUUCCAGGUGUAGUUGGCAUGAUGUAGAAGGUAUUUGGCAUAUUGCCAUAUGCCUUACAUAAAGCACAUCCUAGUUAUUGUAGUUCAAAUAUGACCCAUUAUUUUCGAAGACAAAAAAAUUGCUUUAGAGCCAUGUCUGAACUGAUGUCAUUUAGGUUGUGUGUAUGACACAUGCCAAAUAAACAUAUCUACAGAAACUAGAGCUUGUCAGCUUUCAAAUGAAGUAUCAUACAUCCAUCUAGGACUUAGGGUUACUGUGUUAUAAGCUUUUCCAUUUGGGUAUGUGUUUAGGCGAAAAAAACCAAAAUACUGCCGGACCUUAACAGGUUAAAAAAUAAUAUGCAGCAUCAUUAAAUAUGAAGGAAAGGACCCCCUCUUGUCCCCAGUAUUAAGCGCUUACAUGAAAAGAGAAAUGCAAUCUAUCUUUGUCUCCCCUACAUAUUCGUUUACAGGAUU